CGUCGUCCAAAGCCAGCCCAAGGAAGCCGCGCGGAUUGAAAAGCAACGCUAGGCUGUGCGCAGUGGCUCAUGCCUUGUAAUCCCAGCACUUUGAGAGGCCGAGGCGGACGGAUCACCUGAGGUCGGGAGUUCGAGACCAGCCUGACCAACACGGAGAAACCCUGUCCCUACUAAAAACACAAAAUUAGCUGGGCGUGGUGGCGCAUGCCUGUAAUCCCAGCUACUCUGGAGGCUAAGGCACGAGAAUCGUUUGAACCUGGGAGGCGGAGGUUGCGGUGAGUGGAAAUCGCGCCAUUGCACUCCAGCCUGGGCAACAAGAGUGAAACUCCGAAUCAAAAGAAAAAAAAAUUAUACUGGGACAAUGGGCAUAAACAGGGACAGAUCCAGGCAAACUGUGAUUGAUCUCCUGUGGAUAGGAGAGUCCUUUCCCUUCUUGUUUACCCACAACUGAUAACAUAUUUUACCACUCUUGGGAAUUCCCUUUACUCCUGUUUUACCUUCGUUUCCUGCCUUAAGGCCCAGUUUAAAUGAACCCCUCCUGCAAAGCCUUCUCCCUGGCACCCCACUAAGGAUCAGUCAUUCCCUUUCUAGUGACCUAUUGUUAGAGAUUACCACAAAUUUAUUGGCUUCAAACAACACACAUUAUCUUACAGUUCUGGUGGUCAGAAAUUCAAACUGGGUCUGCAGGGUUGAGUUCCUUCGGGAAGCUCCAGAAGAGAAUCUGUCUUUUCUUGCUUCUACAAGCUGCCUGUAUCCUUGGCUCAUGGCCUCAUCCUCCAUUGCCAAAGCCAACAGCCUAGCAUCUUUAACUCUCUCUCCCUCUGGCCUGUUUCUGCUGCUACGUCACUUCUCUCUCUGUCACCAUCAUCACGAUUUUCUUUUCUGACUCUGACUCUCCUGCCUCCUUCUUAAAGGAAGUCCCUUGGGAUGACAUUGGGCCCACCCAGAUAACCCAGGAUAAUCUCCCUUUCUUACAAUUUCUAUUCUCAUCUGCAAAGUCCCUUUUGCCAUGUGAGGAGUGUUCACAGGUGGAGAUUCGGAUGUGACACCUUUGAGGGCCGUUAUUCUGUCUCCCACACUCACCUCUUGGAAGAGGGUUAUUUUAGCACGUCUCAACUGGUCGUGAGCCUAGUUGUGUCAUCAUAAUACAGCUCACCAUCAUUUGGUUUCAGCUAUUUAUAGGAACCUGAACCCUACCCUAUGCCUAGCCCUAACUCAAACCCCAUCUCUACUGUUUUUCCUGAUUGAUCUGGAAUUCAGUGAUCUGGCUGAGGCUGGGGAAGGUGGCUGGUGGCCCAAGCAGGUAGAAUGUUGGUUUCCAUUUGAUCCUCCCAUCUCAGCCUCAUGCGUUUAUCUACUUCUCUGAUGGGCUUCGUAUUCCCCAUCCCAAUCCAAAGUCUCUUAGAUAAAUUCUCUAGAAAAUAAACUUCUGGUCUUUGAGGAGGAAAGAGGAAGCAUCUUUUUGUCCGGCUCUGUGGGAUAGGAGAAGGAAUCUGGCUAACUCCUCUGUAGACGAUGUUCCAUCAACAAUCAUUUUAUGGAUUAAGGAUUGUAUUCAACUGUCCCUGACGAAACGUGACCACAGUGGUUUAACCAGAUAACUGUUGAUUUGAAAACAACAAUAACAACAACAACAACAACAACAACAACAAGACAUCUAGUGGUUGCUGCCCAGGCUGGUGCAGCAGCUCCAAGGUGACACAGAUGUCCCAUCUCCUUCUCUUCCCUUCAGCAUGUGGCUUUCACAUUUAUGGUGCUCCUAGGCACCUUGAUCACUAUUGGGGCAGAAGGAAUGGGGAAGGGCAAAGGGAAGAAGGCUUUUGCCAGCUCCCCUUUGUUCCUUUAAUUCA
rnacentral:lncRNA from 1 species